AAGUAAGCCUAAACAUUAGUUAAUAUUUAUUAGCUAUUCAAACUUUCCUCUUGUGAAUUGUCAACUCAUAUCAUUUGGUUGUUUUUCUAUCCCACUACUUCUUUUUCUCACCAACUGGCAUGGAUUCUCUGUAAAUUCUAAAUUCCAACCCCGUGUUAGUAUUUGCUUUCCAAAUACUUAUUGUUCACUCUUCACUUUUGUUAUAAACCUCAGUGGAAUACUAAUUUUAAAAUAGUAACAUUUAUCAAAAUACUUUUAAAGUUUGUGAUUUAUAUUCCUUGUUUAGGAAAACUUUCCUAAGAGUUAAUGUCACAAAAACUCUUUUAAUUUCUUUUAAAAGUUAUUCUUUUCACAUUUAAGUUUUAAAAUCACCUAAAAUUACCUUUCUAUAUGCUGUGAAGUAGGCAUAUAAUUCCACUUUUUUUUUCUGUAGGGAUAACCAGUACUUUCAGGCACGACUGAUUAGAGAAUUCUUCCUUUUCCAUCCGUAUCUCAUGUCCCUUGUCAUGUAUCAGAUGUAUGUAUUCUAUUCUGUUCCAUGGCCCAUACUUGAGUCACCAGCUGAUACAAGUUCCCAUAUUUUGUUCUUCAUAAUCCUUUUAUCUACUCGGAGUCCCUGAUCUUCCAUAAAACCUGUAGGAUCUUAACUUCACCAAAAACGCUAUGAUUAUCUCUCAUUUGUUAGCAUAGCGUCUCUCCCUUUUUUCAGGCCCUCUUUCUAUCUUUAAACGGUGUUUUGUACUUUUCUCCACAUCUUACAAAUAUUCUGAUGAGUUUAUUCCAAGCUAAUUUAGAGUUUCUGUUUUAACAAUGUAUAAGUUUUAAUAAUUUGGAAAUAAUUUUCAAGGUAUACAGUCAAUAAUGGCUUUUUUCCCAAUUCCUGUACCUCUUUUUUUUUUUCUUUAUAUUUCAUUGCUUUGUACACCCAGGACAUUGUUGAAUAGAAGUAAUAGUAGUACAUAUUCUAGUUUUUGCUACUUUAACAGAAAUACAUCCAAAGGACCACUCUUGAGGCUGAGAGUCUGAUUAUUUUUUUCUGCAGGCUUUUAUGGAUUUUUUUCUUUUCAGGUUAAGAAAGGUUUCUCCUAAAAGUUUUUUCCUCCCAUGAAAUAAUGUUGAAGUGUUCAUUGGGAUGGCUACAUGAUUUUUCUCCCUUUAUCUAGUAAUGUAUAUUUCAUGAAUUUAUUUUUUGAUGUUAAACUCUUCUUGCAUACCUAGAAGAAAUCCUAUUUGGUGAUGACAGAUUUUAUUGUCUACAUUGCUGAAUUUCAUAUUGCUCAUGGUUAAUUUAAUAUUUUUAAUAAAUGAGAUUUAUCCACAGUUUGUCCCAUUUUAUUUUCAAAGUUUUACUAACUUCAAAAAAUGACUUAGGUGGCUAAGUAGUAUUCCAUUGUGUACAUAUGAGUAGUAUUCCAUUGUGUAUAUACACCACAUCUUCCUUAUCCAAUCAUCUGUUGAUGGACAUUUGUAUUUUUCAUUUUUUUCUAUUUAAGGAUUAUCUGACAUUAAAAGUUUUAAUAAUGCUCUACUACAACACUCUCUGGGAAAGGUUUUUUUAGGGCCUCACCCUCAGCAGAAGGGAGUUCCCAGGAUAGGGGUCGAAUCGGACCUACAGCUGUUGGCCUAUGCCACAGCCACAAUAACACGGGAUCCAAGCCGUGUCUGCAACCUACACCACAGUUCAUGGCAACGCUGGAUCCCUGACCUACUGAGCAAGGCCAGGGAUCGAACUCGCAUCCUCAUGGAUACUAGUUGGAUUCAUUUCUACUGUGUCACAAUGGGAACUCCACAGCAAGCUAUUUUUAAGGGAAUGAAAAUUUCUGGGAGUUACUGCUAUGCUGCAACAGAAUGGGUGGCUUCUCUGCAACGCCAGCACACAGGUUUGAUCCCAGGCCAGGCACAGUGGGUUAAGGAUGCCACAGCUGUGGCAUAGGUGGCAACUGCAGCUGAGAUCUGAUCCCUGGCCCAGGAACUCCACAUGCUGCAGGUCAGCCAAAAAAGAGAAAGAAGAGAAAUUUUCUGAAUAUAGAUUCAUAGUAUUUUUAAUUUGUUCAUGUAAGUUAUUCAUAGUAUUGACUCUUGGUCUUCUAAGUCUCCAUAGUAUUUACCAUUUCACUGAUAAUAUUGUUGAUUUUUCUGGCUCAGUCUUGCUAGGAUUGUCAAUUUUACUCACUCCUUCAAAUAACAAGCUUUUGGCUUUGGAGACUUUCUCUAAUCGUAUUUUCAUUUUCUAUUUCAGUGAUUUUCUCGCAUAUCUUUGAUUAAGUCCAUAUUUUUGCUUCCUUUAAAUUUAUUCUUUUUUUUAAAUAAUACGCUCUUAAGUUGAAUGCCUAGUUAUUUAAUUUUAAACCUUUAUUUUUCUCUGAGACAGGCAUAAAUCCACAUGCAGGAAUCACAUGAAGUGCAUCCCACACUUUAUUAUUAUUAUUGUUAUUACUAACAUCAUUUAAUUCUGAAUAUUUAUUCCCUCUCAUCAUUAUUUCUUCUUUGACCCCAUUAAUCAUGGUGAAGUAAUUUCUUGGUAACCAUAUUUUGGGUAAUAUUUUUACUACUGAUUUCUGUGGCAGAUACAGUUAGUCACCUGCCCCCAAAUCCACUCUCAUUUCAUUCAUUGUAGCAGAACCCCUAGUCUGAAGUCACAAUAGGUCCAGUUAAUGGACAUUUCCCAGCCUCCCUGGCAGCUAGAUUUGAUCAGGAGACUAAGUUCUGACUGAUGAGAUGUUAGGUACUAAGCACCUCAAGUUUAACAUUCUCUGAACACAACUACUGAUGAUCAAUCACCACCAAAAAUCUAUUCUCAAAAUCCUUACCGCCUCUCCCAUCAUCCAUCCCAGCUGUGGGGUGGAAAGCCCAAAAGUCCUUCUUGUUUAUGCUUUUCUUCAUAUUCCACAUCCAAUUCAUGACAGCGUCCUCUCGGCUCUAUUUCCACGACACAUCUACAUCUGACCACAUCCCACUCACUCUGCUGCUAUGAACCUAGUCCUAGCCACCACCUUCCCUCCUUGGAAUAUUCUAAUAACUUCCUGAUGGGACUCAAGGUCUCUUGUUUUCCCCAGAAUCCCCUGCACAAGCAGCCAGUGAACCUCUUAAAAGGUAAAUCAGAUCACUGCAUCCCCUGCCUUAAAAGAAACUCUCACAUGGCUUCUGCCUUGCAACCAGAACAAGAGACGAACCCCUUUCCCUGGCCAGAAUUCAUCACACAAGGCUGUGUGAGAUUGGGCCCCCGCCCGCUUCUCCACCCACUUCCCCCUGCACAGACGCCCUGCCAGCUCUCAGACGAGCUAAGCCCAGCCUAUCUCAGGAUAAUCUUUCUGCUUGGAGCAGUUUUCCACCAAAAAAUUUCUUCCAACCAUACUUGACCUGGGUUCCUCCUUCUCAUUAUUCUGGACUAGGCUCAAAUACCACCACUUCAGAAAGCCACCCUACCCUAGCUGAAGCAGCACCUCCCCCGCAUCCUCAACCUACUGCCCCAGUUUACCUCCUUUAUAGCUCUGCAGUGUUCAUUACCAGCAAUUCCCUUGUUUACUUACUUAUUUUCUUACUUUCUAUUAUUUAUGUUCCUCACUGUAUGAUAGGCUCCUAGAAAGCAAAGAUACUUUUUCCUUUGCUGUCGUUUUUAGAACAGCCCUCUGAUUACCACUAAUGGUCAGUAAAUACAAUAUAUAAUGUAUAAUAUAGGAAUAUAUACGCAUGCAUCAUUUGGUUAUUUGAUGUGUAAUAUACAUCAUGUCAACAUAACAUAUAUAAUAUCUUCUAUAUAAUUUAUAAUAAAUUCUGCACUUUAUACAAUGUGUAAUAUAUGCUAUGUGAUAAAGUGCAUAGUAGUCAAUCUACUACAAACAAUCACAAAUAAUAGGAAAGUCUUUAAAGACAUACAUCUUGAAAUUUUUUGGUCCCACUUCUAUAAUUCCCCCAAGUCACACAAAUACACAAAGAAAGAGAAAUAGAAGAAGAAAGGAGAAAAUGAAAAAAACAGGGAAAACUGAAAGAGGAUCAGGCUGAUGAAAGCCUGCAAGCGCACAUAGGACUGCACUUGCUUCCCAGUUCUCACCCAGGUACCCAGGUGGCUGGGAAUCAUGGAAUCUCGGAGUUUUGAGGAUUCUUAAGAAAUCAAUUACCCAAAGUCCAAAUGGAAAAAUAACUAAUGGAACAGCACAUUGCAAAUGCCUUUUUUAGAUAUGUUUCUGGGCUGUAAUGGUUCGAUAGGCAGGUCACAUUUUUCAGCCAGAUCAUGUUGCGCAUCUUCCCACAGCUGGCCUUUUCCUUUCGUCUUAACAUCUGAUUUUCUCCAUCUCUUCAUUUCUACUCUCAAAGUCUAUUUCUAGUCACCAUAUGCUACUUUUCAGCAAGCAGUAACUUGGAGCAAUUCUGCCCACAAAUUUAGGCAAGUAAAGGCUAUGUAAGACAAAACUAGAAUCCCCGCCUCCCCACGGGCUUGGGACUUUCUGAUUUCAUCAGUGUCACUGGGGUCUGUGGUCCUCUCUAAAGGACACUGCCAUUCUCUUCAUGGUAAAUAGGAAGGAAAGGAAGGCGAUCAGAGCCCUCGGGAUGGAAAUUUCAGGUUCUUUUUUUCCCCAAUCCUGCUUUUCUAAACAAAGCCCUGCAGAGACAAAACCUGGGAAGCUACCACAGCUCCAUGACGACUGGAAGGGCCAGCCAUGGCGACCAUCUCCAUGUGCGCAUCACAGCCACUCGGAGACUUGCACGGGCAGCUGCGGGAUAAACAUCCGCGGCGCUUCUCACCAAGAGAGGCUCUUUAGCAGCCAGUCAGUACAAGGUGGGCUGGGGCAGAAUGCUCCCUCACAGGUCAGCCUCUUACUCGGCGAAUUCAGUCGCUUCUUUUUAUUGACUAUACUAAGAUGGAAUAGCUGUCCUUUUUUCUGUGUUAUGCCACAUACAAGCACGGCCUUUCUAUUCCUACUUGUCAGAUUAAUGAUGCAUUUUUUGUUCUCAGUGUACAUAUCUGUGUGUAAAGGAGAAAAGGACAGAAUGAUACUCAGAGACCGGAAGCCCUAUGGGAAAGGUCAUUGAGCAUGCUCCUUAUUUUAAAGCCUAAAAAAAAAUCUUUACCACUUAUAAAUUGUUUUAAAUGAAGGAACAAAUCUUCAUUGAACCCUAAAUGCUGACAGAGUGGACACAGUCUUGCAUGAUAGCUCUGUUUACUCACAUUGCCUGGGAUUUCCUUCUCUCCCACAAGGUCGGGCUCCUCACCGUGGGGAUGUAGCAGGAGGAUUUCUGAAAGAUUUGAAACAAGGCAUGGACCAUCACUGCAGUAAUUCUCACAAAGAUAUACUUCCAUUCCUGAGGUGAUUUGGAGGCAGGUCAGAGGCUAAUUUCAUUCUUUUUUAUGGAAUA
ensembl:lncRNA